ACCCCCCCCCCCCCCCCCUCACUGUUGGCUUUGAAUACAGCAGCCAAUGUGUUACUAGAGACUAAGUUCAUCACCUGUGUAUUAGUGAAUAAUUUAUGUCCACACACUUCAAGCAUUCCUGUGUAAAUAAUGUAUUAUAUAUGACCGUCCAGCGGUGUUAGACUAGUAGAUGUAUACCACUAUUGUUGUAACACACCUAGAUCAAGACAGUAGAAUAUUAAAUUAACAAAUUAUUAGGAUGAAUGAAAUGCAAAUAAAAACAUUUAAUUCAUAUCCGUC